rnacentral:rRNA from 1 species
AUUGAACGCUGGCGGCAUGCCUUACACAUGCAAGUCGAACGGUAACAGGUCUUCGGAUGCUGACGAGUGGCGAACGGGUGAGUAAUACAUCGGAACGUGCCUAGUAGUGGGGGAUAACUACUCGAAAGAGUGGCUAAUACCGCAUGAGAUCUACGGAUGAAAGCAGGGGAUCGCAAGACCUUGUGCUACUAGAGCGGUCGAUGGCAGAUUAGGUAGUUGGUGGGAUAAGAGCUUACCAAGCCGACGAUCUGUAGCUGGUCCGAGAGGACGAUCAGCCACACUGGGACUGAGACACGGCCCAGACUCCUACGGGAGGCAGCAGUGGGGAAUGUUGGACAAUGGGCGAAAGCCUGAUCCAGCAAUGCCGCGUGCAGGAUGAAGGCCUUCGGGUUGUAAACUGCUUUUGUACGGAACGAAAAGCCCCGGGUUAAUACCCUGGGGUCAUGACGGUACCGUAAGAAUAAGCACCGGCUAACUACGUGCCAGCAGCCGCGGUAA